AAUCUGUUUCUCACACCUGAUAUCGGUCAUCACGCUGCCCUAAUCUACCUGGUUAGAAUUAUGAUAUGGGAUAAAAUAAAAAAAAAAUAAAAUAAAAAAUCACCUGCACUGGAUGCUGACUUUGAGGAGGUAAAUUCACCAGUAAUUAGUAUGACACAGGUGAUGAUGAAGGGAGCAGAGUUUUGGCAGAAGUUGGAGUUUCCCCAAAGUUGAAGCCUAUUAUUUUUGUGUUGAUGGGUUAAUGUUGUGGACUGGCGCCCAUCUGCAUAUCAAAUGUGACUCCUAUUAUUUUAUGUUCCUCUCCGCUAACAGCGCCUCCCAGCACUACUCCGUGUUCUCCUCCAUCUGCCUCCUGUCCAUUGAUCAGCCUUCCAGGGCAUCAGUCUGUUUAACAUCUGCUACAAGUUCCAGCAGCUCAGAUGCGCGGAGGCUGUAAUGAAGAGCUCUUGAACUCCCAGUCAGGGAAGCUCUGACAGGAGUUCAGGAGGAUGCCUCUUUGCCUUUGCUGGACAUACAACACACACACACACCUGUACACACCCGUGCUCAGGCACACGUGCACUCAGGGACAGCAGCAACAAACAGCUUGUACAGAAAUGAAGCUGUCACUCAUGUGUUGUGUCCCAAAUCGGCAGCUUCAAAAGAGACGGAGAAUACCCCGAAGCUUGGCUGUUAAUGGGAGCCUCUAUCAGCCAUCGUGGAAAGCCUGCCUCAUUACUCACUCCAGCACAACUGUGCCCAGGGUGGUCGAUUUCCCCAACGGACACCGGUUCACAGACCAGAGAGGCACUGUGAGGCAUAUGACUUGUUUUUCAA